rfam:Pan troglodytes isolate Yerkes chimp pedigree #C0471 (Clint) chromosome X, whole genome shotgun sequence.
AGACUUUUUCAUCUUUUUUGUGAUGAUUGGAUUUUCAUGCUGUUAUGUGAGAUGUGCCUCCCUCAAACCUUGUCAUGACAUCUUGGCACAUUACCCAUCUGAUG